GUAUAGCCCGGGCCGGCAGGCGGGGUAAUACGUGGAGUGCAAGCGGUAAUCGGAAUUACUGGGCGUAAAGCGCACGCAGGCGGUUGGAUAAGUCAGAGGUGAAAGCCCCGGGCUCAACCUGGGAACUGCAUUUGAAACUGGCCGGCUAGAGGCUUGUAGAGGGGGGUAGAAUUCCAGGUGUAGCGGUGAAAUGCGUAGAGAUCUGGAGGAAUACCGGUGGCGAAGGCGGCCCCCUGGACAAAGACUGACGCUCAGGUGCGAAAGCGUGGGGAGCAAACAGGAUUAGAUACCCUGGUAUUC
rnacentral:rRNA from 1 species